rnacentral:rRNA from 1 species
UACGGGGGGAGCAAGCGUUGUUCGGAUUUACUGGGCGUAAAGGGCGCGUAGGCGGCCUGCUAAGUCGAACGUGAAAUCCCUGGGCUCAACCCAGGAACUGCGUCCGAUACUGGUUGGCUUGAAUCCGGGAGAGGGAUGUGGAAUUCCAGGUGUAGCGGUGAAAUGCGUAGAUAUCUGGAGGAACACCGGUGGCGAAGGCGACAUCCUGGACCGGUAUUGACGCUGAGGCGCGAAAGCCAGGGGAGCAAACGGG